AUGACACUGUUAGGACUUCUGUGCCUGGUGACUUCCCUUCCUAGUAUCUUGUCCCAGGUACAGCUUCAGGAGUCAGGACCUGGCCUGGUGAAGCCCAUCUCAAUCGCUCACCUCACCUGCUCUGUAAUUGGUUACUCCAUCAUCAUUAAUUACUGGCACUGGAUCAGGCAGUCUCCAGGGAAAAAGCUGGAGUGGAUGGGGUACAUAAGUAAUGCUGGUAGCACCAACUACAACCCAUCCCUCAAGAGCCGCAUCUACAUCACCAGAGAAACAUCCAAGAACCAGUUCUUCCUGCAGCUGAACUCUGUGACCACUGAGGACACAGCCACUUAUUACUGUGCAAGAGGCACAGUGAGGGAACUUCAGCAUGAGCCCAGACACAAACCUCCCUGCAGAGGAGGUCUGGACCAGCAGGGGGCGCUCAGCUUUAACUCAACCCCGGAACUCAACUUUUCAGACCUGGAAAGAAAAAACUGCUGCAUUUCUCUGGUUUUGCUUCUCACUCCCUAA